GGUCAGUUAGCUCAGUUGGGAGAGCAUGGUGCUAGUGACACCAAAGUCAUGGGUUCAGAUCCCCGUACUGGCCA